AAUCAUAACACUAAAUUCAUUUUAUUGAUACAUAAAUGUACUCACAAAUUAAAAUAUUUCAUCGAAUCAUUGAUAAAAUGGAUU
rnacentral:tRNA from 1 species